GACGCACUCUCAGAGUUUGAUCCUGGCUCAGGACGAACGCUGGCGGCGCGCCUAACACAUGCAAGUCGAACGAAGCACAUCGACAGAAGUACUUGUACGGAAGAUGAUGUGACUUAGUGGCGGACGGGUGAGUAACACGUGAGCAACCUGCCUUUGUGAGGGGGAUAAUACUGGGAAACCGGUACUAAUACCGCAUAACAUAUGGAGAUGACAUCAUCACCAUAUCAAAGAUUUAUCGCACAAAGAUGGGCUCGCGCCUGAUUAGAUAGUUGGUGAGGUAACGGCCCACCAAGUCGACGAUCAGUAGCCGGACUGAGAGGUUGAUCGGCCACAUUGGGACUGAGACACGGCCCAA
rnacentral:rRNA from 1 species